rnacentral:rRNA from 1 species
UACAGAGGUCUCAAGCGUUGUUCGGAUUCAUUGGGCGUAAAGGGUGCGUAGGUGGCGCGCUAAGUCGGGUGUGAAAUCUCGGAGCUUAACUCCGAAAUUGCAUUCGAUACUGGCGUGCUUGAGGACUGGAGAGGAGACUGGAAUUCAUGGUGUAGCAGUGAAAUGCGUAGAGAUCAUGAGGAACACCAGUGGCGAAGGCGGCUCACUGGCCCGAUACUGACGCUGAGGCACGAAAGCGUGGGGAGCAAACAGG